rnacentral:rRNA from 1 species
AACGAACGCUGGCGGCAUGCCUAACACAUGCAAGUCGAACGAGACCUUCGGGUCUAGUUGCGCACGGGUGCGUAACGCGUGGGAACCUGCCCUUAGGUUCGGAAUAACUCCCCGAAAGGGGUGCUAAUACCGGAUAAUGUCUUCGGACCAAGGAUUUAUCGCCUUUUGGUGGGCCCGCGUUGGCUUAGCUAGUUGGUAGGGUAAAAGCCUACCAAGGCGACGAUCCAUAGCUGGUCUGAGAGGAUGAUCAGCCACACUGGGACUGAGACACGGACCAGACUCCUACGGGAGGCAGGAGUGGGGAAUAUUGGACAAUGGGCGAAAGCCUGAUCCAGCAAUGCCGCGUGAGUGAUGAAGGCCUUAGGGUUGUAAAGCUCUUUUACCCGGGAUGAUAAUGACAGUACCGGGAGAAUAAGCUCCGGCUAACUCCGUG